UGGGGAAUAUUGCACAAUGGGCGAAAGCCUGAUGCAGCAACGCCGCGUGAGCGAAGAAGGCCUUUGGGUCGUAAAGCUCUGUCGGAAGGGAAGAAAGAAAUGACGGUACCUUCCAAGGAAGCCCCGGCUAACUACGUGCCAGCAGCCGCGGUAAUACGUAGGGGGCAAGCGUUAUCCGGAAUUAUUGGGCGUAAAGAGUGCGUAGGUGGUUUUUUAAGCGUGAGGUGAAAGGCAAUAGCUUAACUAUUGUAAGCCUUGCGAACUGGAAGACUUGAGUGCAGGAGAGGAAAGUGGAAUUCCUAGUGUAGCGGUGAAAUGCGUAGAUAUUAGGAGGAACACCAGUGGCGAAGGCGACUUUCUGGACUGUAACUGACACUGAGGCACGAAAGCGUGGGGAGCAAACA
rnacentral:rRNA from 1 species